rnacentral:rRNA from 1 species
UACAGAGGUCUCGAGCGUUGUUCGGAAUUACUGGGCGUAAAGGGCGCGUAGGCGGCACAGCAAGUCGGGAGUGAAAGCCCGGGGCUCAACCCCGGAACGGCUUUCGAAACUGCUGAGCUAGAGUACAGAAGGGGCAACCGGAAUUCCCAGUGUAGCGGUGAAAUGCGUAGAUAUUGGGAAGAACACCUGAGGCGAAGGCGGGUUGCUGGGCUGAUACUGACGCUGAGGCGCGAAAGCCAGGGGAGCAAACGGG